CGGCCGCGGAUAACAGGAAUGCCGGUUACUGGCUCUCUACUCCCGCCCCUUACACUCAAGGACUGCCUCUGCAGGGCGUGUCCCACCCGUUCUGACCAAUGGGCGAGGGCUGAGGAUCACGUGGGGAGGAGCCGGUCGCUGUUGUGUUUCAGGAUUAGUGGAAGAAAGUGCAGGAGGCGGAGUGUGUGGCCCCUGCUCUUGCUCAACAUUGGGACUAGGACAUUGACUUUGUUGCUAAAGCUCUUUGGCACAGGCCCUAUGGGGUUAACUUCUCCUAAACUCUGGGGGCAGGACAAAGAAUGAAUGAAUUCUUAAGCUCCUCCUCUUCCUCAGUUGUCUGGAAAGUGUGUGAGGAGACGUAUAAGAGUAGAUAGACCAGGGGUCCCCAACCUUUUUUACCUGUGAGCCACAUUCAAAUGUAAAAAGAGUUGGGGAGCAACACAAAUAAAAGAAGUCCCUUGGGUGCCAAAUAAGGGCUGUGAUUGGCUGCUUGGUGGCCCCUAUGUGGACUGGCAGCUACAGGAGGUUCUACUUGGUUGGGGAUCACUGAGAUAGACUAACUCUGCACAGACAGUACUGGCCUACUAUACACACACUAGACUCCAUUCCUUUUAUUCCUCCCGCCCCCUGGCAGGAAGAGGAGGAGCUACAAUAUUGAGGCCUCAGAGCUGCUGGCGGCUCCUUUAAUAAUGUGUGCGAGCAGCUAAUGGGUAGGAAGUGACGAGCAGGUGGGAGGGCUCAAUAACGUCCCGGGCAAGAAGGAGGAGUCACAAUAAGAUGAUUCCUCAUGGUCCUUACCCCCCCCCAGUCACACACAGUCAAGAUCAACAUGAAACACAGGACAACACUGGCAUUUAAUAGGCAUAUUCAGUGUUUCUUUCAUAGUAACCCCUUCUUGUACAAGUCGUGUUCUGUUUUACACCCCACACUCAUUUUCUUUAGUGGAAGAUGAGAGCAAACUGGCUCUUUUGAUGUCAGUGAAGGUCGCUGACCCCUGCUCUGGUCUAUACACUGGGGCAGCACUGAAGAACUGAGGAGGGGCCGCUGGUCACAUGAUGGGACACGAGUCAUGUGACAUCAUUUAGCAGCUUGGUGGGGGCGGGGUAGAUCCACACUGACUCCCUUGUGACUCAUCACAGAAGCAACUGAUCCCCACGGGUCGCCGACCCCACACAAAGAGCUAGACUCUAAUGAUGAACAAGGAGAAGACGGCCUUAUUGCCUCCACGAGACACAACAUCUAUGAUCUGACCGCCCAGGCCUGUCCCCACUCGUCUUCCACAAGUUCUCGGCUCGGCCAAAGGUGAACAUGAUAAAGCUGACACUCUGCACAAUGAUGGCCCAGAUGGAGAGGAGAUGGCACCCCUGCACCAACACCACCAACAAAAGGAACUACCUCAUCACUCAAUGGGCCACGUGUCUCAUCACUCAAUAGGCCAUCUUGGAGAGACUGCUUUUGUGUCAAUCAACCUUUUGUAACUAGUUAGGGUUAGUACUUUCUAUGCCAGUACUAGGCUCCUCCCUCCUUCUAGGAGGGAGGAGCCUAGUACUGGAAUAGAAAGGCAGAUUGUAAGCUCGUUGGGCUGCACACACACAGGGACAUGCAACUUUCUUGUUGCUACUUGGGCAUCACAUGGAUCUUCUCCAGGAAACACGAAAAAGAAUCCGGGAUCCCCCAGUCCGGCCACAAGACAGACUAGAAAUGGCUGAUCUCACGGGACUCCUGCACAAACUCCUCCUGAUAUUGCUCUUUCCUAAACUUUCUCUAAAUACACUGUUUAUAAAGGAGUACACUGUUUAUUCUAA